ACGCUCGACACCUACGGGAGGUAGCAGUGGGGAAUAUUGCACAAUGGGGGAAACCCUGAUGCAGCGACGCCGCGUGGAGGAAGAAGGUCUUCGGAUUGUAAACUCCUGUUGUUGGGGAAAAAGAGGAUGGUACCCAACAAGGAAGUGACGGCUAACUACGUGCUAGCAGCCGCGGUAAUCUGAGCGGGCUGGCAAGGC
rnacentral:rRNA from 1 species